GAUGAACGCUAGCGGCAGGCCUAACACAUGCAAGUCGAGGGGCAGCACAGAAAUUCAGCAAUGAGUUUUGGUGGCGACCGGCAGACGGGUGCGUAACGCGUGUGCAACCUACCCUUAACAGGGGAAUAACGGAGGGAAACUUCCACUAAUACCCCAUAACAUCCAAAGAGGCAUCUCUUGGGGUUGAACGCUCCGGCGGUUACGGAGGGGCACGCGUUGGAUUGGAUUGGUGGUGAGGUAACGGCUCACCAAGUCUACGAUACAUAGGGGGACUUAGAGGUUAACCCCCCACACUGGUACUGAGACACGGACCAGACUCCUACGGGAGGCAGCAGUGAGGAAUAUUGGUCAAUGGACGCAAGUCUGAACCAGCCAUGCCGCGUGCAGGAAGACGGCUCUAUGAGUUGUAAACUGCUUUUGCAAGAGGAUAAUUGCGGGUACGUGUACCCGCUUGAAGGUACCUUGCGAAUAAGGAUCGGCUAACUCCGUGCCAGCAGCCGCCGUAA
rnacentral:rRNA from 1 species